UACGUAGGGGGCAAGCGUUGUCCGGAUUCAUUGGGCGUAAAGAGCGUGUAGGCGGCCAGAUAGGUCAGCUGUGAAAACUCGAGGCUCAACCUCGAGAUGUCGGCUGAAACCAUCUGGCUAGAGUCCGGAAGAGGAGAAUGGAAUUCCGGGUGUAGCGGUGGAAUGCGUAGAGAUCCGGAAGAACACCGGUGGCGAAGGCGGUCUGCUGGGCAGUGCUGACACUGAGGCGCGACAGCGUGGGAGCAA
rnacentral:rRNA from 1 species